ACUUUUUUGUCUUUAGGAUAUAUAUGUGUGUGUGUGUUUGUGUGUGUGUGUAUAUAUAUAUACAUAUAUAUAUAUACACACAUACAUACACAUAAAUA
rnacentral:miRNA from 1 species